UACGAAGGGUGCAAGCGUUGUUCGGAAUUAUUGGGCGUAAAGGGCGCGUAGGCGGCUUGACAAGUCAAAGGUGAAAUCCCUCGGCUCAACUGAGGAACUGCCUUUGAAACUGUCUGGCUUGAGGCCGGGAGGGGGUAGCGGAAUUCCCAGUGUAGCGGUGAAAUGCGUAGAUAUUGGGAGGAUCACCAGUGGCGAAGGCGGCUACCUGGACCGGUUCUGACGCUGAUGCGCGAAAGCGUGGGUAGCAAACAGG
rnacentral:rRNA from 1 species